GAGUUUUGAUCCUGGCUCAGGAUGAACGCUAGCUACAGGCUUAACACAUGCAAGUCGAGGGGAAACGAUAUUGGAAGCUUGCUUCCGAUAGGCGUCGACCGGCGCACGGGUGAGUAACGCGUAUCCAACCUGCCCACCACUUGGGGAUAACCUUGCGAAGUAAGACUAAUACCCAAUGAUAUCUCUAGAAGACAUCUGAAAGAGAUUAAAGAUUUAUCGGUGUAUGGAUGGGGAGUGCGUCUGAUUAGCUUGUUGGCGGGGUAACGGCCCACCAAGGCGACGAUCAGUAGGGGUUCUGAGAGGAAGGCCCCCCACAUUGGAACUGAGACACGGUCCAAACUCCUACGGGAGGCAGCA
rnacentral:rRNA from 1 species